GUGAAACUGCGAAUGGCUCAUUAUAUCAGUAAUAGUUUAUUUGAUGGUCCCUUACUACUUGGAUACCCGUAGUAAUUCUAGAGCUAAUACAUGCUUACAAAUCUCGAUGGGGCAACUCAGAGAGACGUAUUUAUUAGAUAAAAAACUAAUGUUUGGGGGCAACUUCAAAUUUCAUUGGUGAUUCAUAGUAACUCAACGAAUCGCAUGGCUUUAUGCUGGCGAUAGUUCAUUCAAAUUUCUGCCCUAUCAGCUUUCGUUGGUAGUGUAGUGGACUACCAAGGCUUUAACGGGUGACGGAGAAUUAGGGUUCGAUUCCGGAGAGGGGGCCUGAGAGAUGGCCACCACAUCCAAGGAAGGCAGCAGGGGCGCAAAUUACCCC
rnacentral:rRNA from 18 species